UUGGCAAAAUGUACCCACCCUGUGUCCCAGCACCUCCGGCCUUUGCUCCCUGCCACCCAAAGUGGGCCCCUGCCUGCUGAUGAGCUGUGCCUGGGGCCUGCCAGCAGGAGCUAUGGAGGGUGCCUAGUGGAGCCCUUGGCCUCACCCACAGGUAAAGAUGCAGUGCCGGAAAGGCAUCCCGUCUGCCCUGCGCGCCCGAUGCUGGCCCCUGUUGUGUGGGGCCCAUGUGUGCCAGAAGAACAGCCCUGGCACCUAUCAGGAGCUGGCAGAGGCCCCUGGAGACCCACAGUGGAUGGAGACCAUUGGCAGGGACCUGCACCGUCAGUUCCCUCUGCACGAGAUGUUUGUGUCGCCUCAGGGCCACGGGUACGAGGCCGGUGAUGCCCAGGGACCCCCAGCCCCACAAGCCCCACGUGCUCCAGCCCACUUUCCCCAGCCCAGCUCUACAGUCUUGCAUCUCAGGGGACCCAGCAAGGCCCAGGGAGGCUGAGGCCUGGGCAGAGGCCCCCAGAGGGUGGAGAAGGGGAUGCCUGCAGGACUGGCCCCUUAUGGGGUCUUCCGGCACAGGCAGCAGGGGCUCCUGCAGGUGCUCAAGGCCUACACCCUGUAUCGACCGGAGCAGGGCUACUGCCAGGCCCAGGGGCCCGUGGCUGCUGUGCUGCUCAUGCACCUGCCCCCGGAGGUGAGUGACCUUGACCCUGCUCUGGGAACUCUAGUGACCUAGGCCCAGGGAACCCCAUCCCCAGAAACUGUGGCCUCAGAAACCUGCAAUGCUUGAUUCCUGGACCCUGUCCUAGUGACCCAGGUCCUCAUGACUGCCAGCCUCAGUGACCUUCAAGCCUAAUGACCUUGACUCCAGGAACCUGGGACCCUUGACCCCAGCCUUGACCCCAGUCAUCUAGGAAUCUGGAUGUUAUCACCUUGACCCCACGACUCCUGAUUCUGAACUUGGGGACUGUGACCCCAACCCCAAAGACCCAGAAACCCAGGACUUGAACUUUGGGACACUCCCAACCCUUGGCCAGUGAACCCCAACCCUGUGACCUUCAAAUCUAACACCAUGAGCCCUGUGAUUUCCAACACCCUAAACCCCUCAGCAGACCCUGUCUUGGGCAGAGGAGGGGGCUUUUGGGAAGGGCUUCCAGGAACUGCGCAGGUUAGGAGUGGCCCUGAGUCCAGGCCCCUGUGGUGCCCAGGCCCUCCCCUUCACUCCUUUCCCCUGUCCUGCCUUCUCCUCCGCGGUCCCUUCCUUGGUGAGCACUUACAGGCCUGUGCCCUGCCCCUUCCCCAGGAGGCCUUCUGGUGCCUGGUGCAGAUCUGUGAGGUCUACCUCCCUGGGUACUACGGGCCCCACAUGGUGAGAGGCUGACAUGGGGGCUGGAGGAAGGAGGGGCAGGGGCCCGGUGAGUGGGUGGGGGUCUGGGGACUGAGGGAGGUUGAGCCUGGGCUCUGGGGGUGGCGGUGCUGGCCUGCUGAUGGACGUGGCCACAGGAGGCUGUGCGGCUGGACGCCGAGGUGUUCAUGGCCCUGCUGCGGCGGCUGCUUCCGCACGUGCACAAGCACCUGCAGCAGGUGGGCGUCGGGCCCCUGCUGUACCUGCCCGAGUGGUUCCUGUGUCUCUUCGCCCGCUCCCUGCCCUUCCCCACAGUGCUGCGUGUCUGGGAUGCCUUCCUCAGUGAGGGUGAGUGGGGCAGCCAGUGGCUGGGGCAGGAGCCUUGGGGUGUGGGUGGGGAGGUAGCUCACCAGCUCCAGGGUUCCCUUUUUGAGCCUCAAAUCACAGGACUGGGUGUACCGAAGGUGAUGGCCUGGUGCCUGGCGCUACAUCACCCAUCACCAUCACCCAGGCACCGCCUGGUGCAGAGCUGGGCCAGGGAGGCUUCCAGAGGAGGCAGAUGGGGCAGGAGCAGGGUGAUCACAGCACAUGGAGGCCUGAGCUUCUCAGGGACAGUAGGAGGCGUUCCUCCCCAGAGACCGCAGGCACCUGCUGGGUGCUCACUGGCUCCAGACGUGGAUCUGCAGCUGGGAAUCAAGUGAUCGAGACCUUCAAUUCUGGCGGGGGUGGGGAUGGGUGGCGACAGUAACCAAAUUUACAAGACAUUUAUAGAUUGUCAGAAGUGUCAUGAAGAAAAUAAAACUAGGGAUGUGACAGGGAGUGUCAGGGGAGUGCAGGGGCGAUGGCUGCAUUUAAGCUCCUUCUGGCUGCUCUGUGCAGGAGGAGGACUCACAGGGGUGCCUGUGGAGGCCUGGGGCCAGAGAGGCCACUGUCCCCAGGGGCCAGGCUACAGUCUACGAAGCAGGGAGGGCUUGGAGCCAUGAAGCCAGAGAGGUGGAGGCUGGGGGCCAGGCCAAGAACAGGAGGGGAGUUGGAGCAGAGCCAAGCUGGACUCCCUGUGUCUUUGGGACUCUGCCUUGAUACUGCCAUCGGUAACCCACCUGCAUUCUGUUCUAUAUGUGAGGUCUGGAGGUUGCACCUUAAAACGUGGUAGAAAUCAGUCAGCAUAUGCAUACUGUAUGCCUGUCAUGUGCUCAGCCGGCUUCCUGCCCUCCGCACAGCGGAGGACCACUGGCUGGCUUAGAGUUCUGGCCACAGGUGUCCAAGUCGCUAUCCAUGCGGUCACCUUCCAACCAGCCUUAGACCUCGAGAGCAGGGCUGGGCAGAGCUAGGCGGGGCCUGACCUGCCCACCUGGGGGCAAACACUACACAGGCUCCCUUUAUCAGAAGGACGAUAGUAUGAAUAGUGAUUGUUCCUACCAUCAUCACUCAACCUCGCUGGUCCCCUGGUGGCUCUUCUCAGAUCAGAGGCUGCCAGGAAGGAAUUUUGAGGCUCCAGGACUAGCCCAAACUCACACUGUGGGGAGUGUGCACUGAGUGCUAUGCUCCUGGCUUAGGGAAGAGCAGUUCUGCCUAGGAUCUUUCUAGAAUCAGAGGGUCACAGAUCCAAGUUGGAAAGGCCCUUAAAGGGCUCCACCUGACCUUUCAUCAUGGAGAUGAGCAAGCUGAGGCCCAGGGAGGGCUUGGUGUGAAGGCAUCAGUAGCCCUGGGCUCCUGGCAGGAAGCUGGUGGCUUGGAGGGGACUGGAGCCUUGGGGUGUGGGCAGGGAGCUAGCUCACCAGCUCCAGGGUUCCCUUUUGGAGCCUCGAGUCAUGGGACCAGGUGUGCUGAAGGUGAUGGCCCUGUGCCUGGUGGCACAUCACCUGUCACCCGGAUGCUGCCUGGGGUAGGAGCUGGGUGAUCAUAGCACAUGGAGGCCUGACUGGCUCAGGGAGGGUAGGAGGUGCUCCUCCCCGGAGCCCACAGGCACCUGCUGGGUGCUUGCUGGCUCCAGAUGUGGAUGGCAUCUGAGCAUCAAGUGAUCAAGACCUUCAUUCUGGCGGGGGUGGGGAUGGGAGGCGACAGUAACCAAAUUCACAAGAUAUUAACUCUUCCCCAAAGCAUCUGUGGCUCUUGAGGCUAACUUGGCCAGUACAGCGGCCUGUGUUACCUGAAAUGCAACUCCACCCUCUGUCAUUGUUCCUGAACCGGGGAGGGCAGAGCUGCAGGAGAGUGGGAGGCAUAUAGCUGAGGGCAGGUUUGGGUGCAGAACUGUGGAGGGGCAGGGCCGGCCUCCCAGUGAAUAAGCCCCCGGCCUGCAGGUGCCAGAGUACUGUUCCGUGUGGGGCUGACACUGGUGCGCCUGGCGCUGGGCACUGCAGAGCAGCGAGGGGCCUGCCCUGGCCUCCUGGAGACACUGGGAGCCCUUCGAGCCAUCCCCCCCGCGCAGCUGCAGGAGGAGGCCUUCAUGUCACAGGUGCACAGCGUGGUGCUGUCGGAGCGGGACCUGCAGCGGGAGAUCAAGGCCCAGCUGGCCCAGCUGCCCGAUUCCGCGCCGGGACCCCCGCCCCGGCCACAGGUCCGCCUCGCCGGGGCCCAAGCCAUCUUUGAGGCCCAGCAGCUGGCAGGGGUGCGACGAGGCGCCAAGCCUGAGGUGCCUCGGAUUGUGGUGCAGCCCCCGGAGGAGCCCAGACCACCACGGCGGAAACCCCAGACCCGCGGCAAGACUUUCCAUGGGCUCCUGACUCGGGCCCGGGGCGCCCCCAUCGAGGGGCCCCCCAGGCCCCAACGAGGCUCCACCUCCUUCCUGGACACCCGCUUCUGAGAGGACCAUGGACUUAGUGUCCCCCAGUCUCAAUUGCCUGAUGGCUGAUGCCAGCCCAGCAAAUAGGCACCGCACUUUACUCUUGGGACUCGGGGACUUGGCUUCCUUCCUGGCAAGGACCAGGCAGUGGGGAAGGAGGAGGUCCUCCGUGGUACAUACUGGGUCAGGCACUAGCAUGGAGGAGGGUCACAGAGUGGGGCACGUGAGGACCCAUGGAACCAUCCUGGUGCCCAGGCCCUCACAAGUACCAAAGCCAGCACCAAAGGAGUCAGGGAAGGGGUUGACUGAGUCAAGGGACCCCAGAGGGCACCAGGAAUAAAAUCUUCUUGAACAG
rnacentral:sRNA from 1 species